rnacentral:rRNA from 1 species
AAACUUGGAUUAAUACCACAUAUUGCCAUUGAGAGGCAUCUCUUGAUGGCCAAAGAAUUUUCCGGGUAACGGAUGGGCGUGCGGUUGAUUAGGUAGUUGGCGGGGUAACGGCCCACCAAGCCUACGAUCAAUAGCUGAUGUGAGAGCAUGAUCAGCCACACGGGCACUGAGACACGGGGCCCGACUCCUACGGGGAGGCAGCAGUAAGGAAUAUUGGGCAAUGGACGAAAGUCUGACCCAGCCAUGCCGCGUGAAGGAUGAAGGUCCUCUGGAUUGUAAACUUUCUUUUUUCUGGGGGAGAAAUGCUACUUUUUCUAAAGUGUUUGACGGUACCAGAAGAAUAAGCACCGGCUAACUCCGUG